rnacentral:lncRNA from 1 species
GCCUGAUAUAAAAGCAAAGAAUUUGACUGAACCAUUAAUUUUACCAUUUCUUACACCACAUAGCUAUUCAUAAUUCUGCACCGUGAAUUUCUCCAUGACCUCCCAGGUGGUCAUUGAGCUCCCAUUUUAGAAAAUACAGCAUUCAUAGUUCAUGGUAUUUAAAAGAGGCACAUUGUAAUGUGUUCUUGUCUCUGAGGGGGUUUGAAGUCAGAUGGAAGGGCAGGGAUGUAGGUUAUACUUACAAAAUGUGUUUCCAUAGUCAUGAUUAUACCUUACAGUUCACAGGAAUCAGCGUUACCAAGGAGAAGCGAUGCAAUGCUCUGGGGGAGAACCUUGCUUACCUGCUGUUUAAGGGCUCUAUUCUCUCUGCUUAUUUGAUCAGUUGAGCUUUCAGGCUCUGCCUAAAGCAAGAGACAGAGUUAAAACAAGCAGCCAGGACAUUAUCAUUUCAUUCAAAUGCACUGCACAACCCUGCCUUUCUCUCAGCCCGGGAUCCUGUCAAGUGUUCUAAGCCCAAUCAUUCGAGACCCUUGCUUCCAGAGGAAAUGUCCAGAGGCUGCACACAAAGUUACCUCUGUGGUAUUCUUCUCUGAAAAGAGUCCUGGUCCAGACACUGUUAUAAAAUUUUGAUGAAAUGCAAUCCAUUGAGUGGCCCAUUGUCAGUUUCUAGGAAGGGAUGAUGGAAUUUUCCUAUAUAAAUAUCCUCUGUAAUCAGGCAGAAAUAUGCAAAAAAAUUGUUAUAGGAUUCAAGAUAUAGUCUGAUUUCUGAGAAUAUGAAACCAAAAGAGGAAGAAAUCCAGGACAGAACAAGUAGGAAGAAGAGUAUGAAAAACUGAAGCUCUUUAGCCCUUGCUGGCACAGCGUCUGGCAACUGGUGAGCAUUGAAUAAAUGCCUCUUGAUUAAUUGUUGAUUGAACA